UACGUAGGGACCAAGCGUUGUUCGGAUUUACUGGGCGUAAAGGGCGCGUAGGCGGCAUGACAAGUCACUUGUGAAAUCUCCGGGCUUAACUCGGAACGGCCAAGUGAUACUGUCAAGCUAGAGUGCAGAAAGGGCAAUCGGAAUUCUUGGUGUAGCGGUGAAAUGCGUAGAUAUCAAGAGGACCACCUGAGGCGAAGGCGGGUUGCUAGGCUGACACUGACGCUGACAGCGCGAAAGCCAGGGGAGCAAACGGG
rnacentral:rRNA from 1 species